AGAGUUUGAUCCUGGCUCAGGAUGAACGCUAGCGGCAGGCCUAAUACAUGCAAGUCGAACGAGACGUUUUUCUUCGGAGAAACUGAAAGUGGCGCACGGGUGCGUAACGCGUAUGCAACCUACCCUUAACAGGGGGAUAGCCCAGAGAAAUUUGGAUUAAUACCCCAUAGUAUUACAAGAUGGCAUCUGAAAGUAAUUAAAGAUUUAUCGGUUAAGGAUGGGCAUGCGUGACAUUAGAUAGUUGGUGAGGUAACGGCUCACCAAGUCAACGAUGUCUAGGGGUUCUGAGAGGAUGAUCCCCCACACUGGUACUGAGAUACGGACCAGACUCCUACGGGAGGCAGCAGUAGGGAAUAUUGGUCAAUGGGCGAGAGCCUGAACCAGCCAUGCCGCGUGCAGGAAGACAGCUUUCUGAGUUGUAAACUGCUUUUAUAUGGGAAGAAAAAGCCUUUGCGAAGGAAAUUGCCGGUACCAUAUGAAUAAGCACCGGCUAACUCCGUGCCAGCAGCCGCGGUAAUACGGAGGGUGCAAGCGUUGUCCGGAUUUAUUGGGUUUAAAGGGUCCGCAGGCGGCCUGUUAAGUCAGAGGUGAAAGCCAACAGCUCAACUGUUGAACUGCCUUUGAUACUGAUAGGCUUGAGUUAUUGUGAAGUGGUUAGAAUGUGUGGUGUAGCGGUGAAAUGCUUAGAUAUCACACAGAAUACCCAUUGCGAAGGCAGAUCACUAACAAUAUACUGACGCUCAUGGACGAAAGCGUGGGGAGCGAACGGGAUUAGAUACCCCGGUAGUCCACGCCGUAAACGAUGGAUACUAACUGUUCGAUCUUCGGAUUGAGUGGUCAAGCGAAAGUGAUAAGUAUCCCACCUGGGGAGUACGCUCGCAAGAGUGAAACUCAAAGGAAUUGACGGGACCCCGCACAAGCGGCGGAGCAUGCGGCUUAAUUCGAUGAUACCCGUAGAACCUUACCUGGACUUGACAUAUAGGGAAAAGUUAUAGAAAUAUAAUGUGCAUUAGCGCCCUAUACAGGUGGUGCAUGGCUGUCGUCAGCUCGUG
rnacentral:rRNA from 1 species